rnacentral:tRNA from 1 species
GCCUCCGUGGCCCAAUGGACUACGGCAGCCGGUUUCUACCCGGCAGAUUCCGGGUUCGAGUCCCGGCGGAGGCA